rnacentral:rRNA from 1 species
CGGCAAGCCUGAUCCAGCAAUGCCGCGUGAGUGAUGAAGGCCUUCGGGUUGUAAAGCUCUUUCGCACGCGACGAUGAUGACGGUAGCGUGAGAAGAAGCCCCGGCUAACUUCGUGCCAGCAGCCGCGGUAAUACGAAGGGGGCUAGCGUUGUUCGGAAUUACUGGGCGUAAAGGGCGCGUAGGCGGUGUGUCAAGUCAGGCGUGAAAGCCCCGGGCUCAACCUGGGAACCGCGCUUGAGACUGGCACGCUAGAGUUCGGGAGAGGAUGGUGGAAUUCCCAGUGUAGAGGUGAAAUUCGUAGAUAUUGGGAAGAACACCGAUGGCGAAGGCAGCCAUCUGGACCGACACUGACGCUGAGGCGCGAAAGCGUGGGGAGCAAACAGGAUUAGAUACCCUGGUAGUCCACGCCGUAAACGAUGAGUGCUAGACGUCGGGGUCCCCAGGGCUUCGGUGUCGCAGCUAACGCGUUAAGCACUCCGCCUGGGGAGUACGGCCGCAAGGUUA